rnacentral:rRNA from 1 species
UACGUAGGGGGCAAGCGUUGUCCGGAUUUAUUGGGCGUAAAAGGCUUGUAGGUGGCCACGCCAAGUCGGUUGUGAAAUCUCCCGGCUCAACUGGGAGGGGUCAUUCGAUACUGGCGGGCUCGAGGCCGGUAGGGGGAAGUGGAAUUCCCGGUGUAGUGGUGGAAUGCGUAGAUAUCGGGAGGAGCACCGGUGGCGAAGGCGGUUCUCUGGGCCUGACCUGACGCUGAGGAGCGAAAGCGUGGGGAGCGAACAGG